rnacentral:tRNA from 1 species
GCCGAGGUGGCGGAAUGGUAGACGCCCGGGACUUAAGAUCCCGUGUUCUUUAUGAACGUGUGGGUUCGACUCCCUCCCUCGGCA